rnacentral:rRNA from 1 species
CCUACGGGAGGCAGCAGUAGGGAAUCUUCCACAAUUGGCGCAAGCCUGAUGGAGCAACACCGCGUGAGUGAAGAAGGGUUUCGGCUCGUAAAGCUCUGUUGUUGGAGAAGAACGUGCGUGAGAGUAACUGUUCACGCAGUGACGGUAUCCAACCAGAAAGUCACGGCUAACUACGUGCCAGCAGCCGCGGUAAUACGUAGGUGGCAAGCGUUAUCCGGAUUUAUUGGGCGUAAAGCGAGCGCAGGCGGUUGCUUAGGUCUGAUGUGAAAGCCUUCGGCUUAACCGAAGAAGUGCAUCGGAAACCGGGCAACUUGAGUGCAGAAGAGGACAGUGGAACUCCAUGGGUAGCGGUGGAAUGCGUAGAUAUAUGGAAGAACACCAGUGGCGAAGGCGGCUGUCUGGUCUGCAACUGACGCUGAGGCUCGAAAGCAUGGGUAGUGAACAGGAUUAGAUACCCUUGUAGUC